rnacentral:tRNA from 1 species
CAGAAUUUUUUUUUUAUUUACAAUAAAGUUUAAAAUCAUUAAUUUGAUUAAUUCUGA